rnacentral:rRNA from 1 species
GACGAACCGUGCAAACGUUAUUCGGAAUCACUGGGCUUAAAGCGUGCGUAGGCGGCUGAGAAAGUUGGGUGUGAAAUCCCUCGGCUCAACCGAGGAAUUGCGCUCAAAACUACUUGGCUUGAGGGAGUUAGAGGUGAGCGGAACUAAUGGUGGAGCGGUGAAUUGCGUUGAUAUCAUUAGGAACACCGGUGGCGAAAGCGGCUCACUGGGACUCUUCUGACGCUGAGGCACGAAAGCUAGGGUAGCGAACGGG